GACAACAAAAAACUAGGAGUUGGUAUGAGGACGGUGAGAAGGCCUUUUCGCUUGGAUGAUCCUUCAGAUGAGGAGGAAACUUCUCAGGUACCAAAGAAAAAAAAGCAGAAAAUAGCACCAACAGAAACAAGUAGAAAUAUCUUGAAAGAAGUGGAGAAGCGCCAGACUGCGUCUACUAGUACGCCUGACACUCCAGCAACACAUCCAGCGGAAUGUCAAUGCAAGAAAUAUGAUCAUUUGUUGGUAAAAUAUACCAACUUGAAGCAGAAAUUUAAAGACACCAAGUUGUCAAAGAUUUAACCACUUACAAGAAUGAGGUUGUUAAAACAGGGAGUGUUGCUUCCUAUGUUUCAAAUGACCAGGAGGUUGAGCAAGGUGAUCCAUCUCCUGCACAGAAAGAAAAGGUCAAGCAGAUGUCGAGGUAGAUGUUGGACAUGGUAUCAUCAUGGAAAAUUCCAAAUUAAUGGCAAUCACUCAGGCUAGUGAUGGGCCAACAAAACUAGCAAGAAAUUUGUUUGUGGCACUUUUCCCUUUUGAUGAAGUGAUUGGAAAAUCACUUACGGGCAAAAAAAGUAAUGCACAUAAUUACAGCGUACAAAAGGAAAAGCUUGAUCCAAACCGAAUCGGUGCCAUUCUUUGUAUGUGUAGUUCUUUUCCAUUUUUUUAAUUACAACAAUAGUUAAAUGUUAAGGUGUAGUAUGUAAUCAAUCACCUGUAGUUAUUGUUGUGAUUGUAUAAUUG